GUGGCUCUGAGGGCUGCUUUAAUUAAAGCGCCCACAGUGUCACAUGUAUUUAGUGUUCCAUACUUUGAAAUGGCGGCACCCCUGCUGCCAUUUUGAAGCAUGGGGAUAUUGAAUACAUGUGAUAUGGAGGCUGCUGGAGCGUGCUAAUUAGCAUGCAUUGGAGCAGAUGUCCAGCACGUGCAUAGAUGCUCAUAGGUUCUUUCUCCCUGGGCUUUCUGGGAGGAACAAACAAGUGAAAGGUGCUUGAAUAAGGUCAGGGGUAUAAGGGAGAUGAGGAAGAACCUCAGAUCCAAGGCUUUUGAAGGUUUCCAUGACCACAUGAACAGUAGGUCAUGGACCUACUGUUUUGUCAUGGAGGAGGAGUAUUCCUUUUGUCAGCAUGCCACAUAGAUUCCCUCUGAGCAACAUUUUUUUGUUCACAUCUUGCAUAAAAAAUCUUUCACAAGGAAACUGUUAGUAUCCCAGAAAACCAUCAGAAGGACUUUGUUGCCUUUCACACCCUUUGUCACAAAAAUGGCUCAGGGAAUGCACCUCUUCCUUGGUACAGUCAAAAGCUGUAGUUAUCCUUUUUGGUACUGUGCAAAGGCACACAGCAGAAAAGUCCACAAUUGCCAUUGCACUGUUUCUCUGGCACAGACAUUCAGACAUGUGGUGCUACAUACUGAUUGUAUUUCCUGUGUUACAACUGCUGAUGUCCUGCUGGUUUCAUUUUUUUUUUUUUUUAACUGUUUCUCAUAUGUCAGGCAGGAAGAUGAAGCAGAUCCAGUAGUUCUUUCCCAUCCUCAAUUUCUAGGGAUCCUUACUUAGCUCCCAUUGGAAGAAAGGAUAGGAUAAGUUGAAAUUCUUUAUAAAGGGUCAAACAAAUUAGUGUUCCAGGGGGCAGCUGCAUUCGAGUCUGGUUUUCAUUCCAAAGCAAAUGGUUAUUAUUCUCAGCAAGCCAGAGAGGUGUGAGCACGUCGUGCUCUUUGGAUCUGUAUCAGUAACAAAUAACAUGCCAUAGAGGUGGAACAGGCAAUUUCUAGGGCAAUAUAUUAUUCAGGGAAGUAAAACAUGGAUUAGUGAAAUGAUUUUGAGAGUUACGAUGGGGGUGGGAGGAGUAGGCGCUUCCCUGUAAAAUCACCAGAGCCCAUGUUACUUGCCUGGGGAAUGCUGGGGAAAUGCCCAUAAAAUCUAUUAAUCUGCAACUAAUUAGGAGAUUAGGGAGUCAGCUUUUGAAGGUCUAGAAGAGUAAUCUUGGAAAGAAUCUGGAGGAAGGCUCUCACAUCAGGGGAGCAUCAGGAGCAGGUGCUUUACAGUCAAGAAAAAUCAAAAGCCUGAGCAUUAUGGAAGAUUUAUAUAGACAAGGGCCAGAGUUUGAAUCUCACUGCCAGCUAGUGCAUCCCAGUUGAUUUCAAUACUCAAAGGGAAACAUAUAUUCCUAUUUUUGUAAUAAUUUUUCUACUUAGUGACACAGAGAUUUACUGUAAGUGUUCAAGAGGAAUCCAGACAAAAUUAAAAAAUUAAGGAACCAAUUUAUUUCUCAUCAGGCACUGUCCCUUCAAGGGAGGACUAAUUAUGGUUAUUCCUGACAAGACAACAUGAGUUUGACUCAGUUCUGUUUGGGGUUUUUUUUUUGUAGUAUUAAAGGAAUAUGCUUUUGGGUCAUACUAAACCAUACAUUGUUUAUGCAAUAUUACCUCUGAAAAGGAGUUGGAAGCAAUGAAUCCUUCUAUCUUUGGAGAAAAAAACAGGGUAAGAUUCUUCUUUUGGCUUGUGACUUGAAAUACUGGGAGAAUAACUGAAAAAAAGGGAACUGGACAAUGGUAAGAGAGGGUGGAAGAUGACUUGAAACAUGUUUGGCUUGGGAGAUAGAACUGUGUACAAAUAUUAUUAGCAUAAAAAUCUUAGAAAUGUGUUAUGCCUUUCAAAACUGAUUACGCUUUUGUUUUCCACAUGAUCUCGGUGUUUUGUUGCCCCAUGGACCCUGCUUCGUUUGUGCUUGGCACGGGAAGUAAGUUACUCUACUUUUGUGGAGCUGGCCUAUGUGUUCUCCCCCACCUUGACCCUGAUUUGUCUUAGUUUUAUGUGGCAAGCAGAGGUGAGGUGCAGCAAAGGCUCUCAUCCUUCAGUUCCUUCCUUUCCCACUUGCUUGCAGGGGAAUAUUGACCAUGCAGUCCCUAGUUCUGGAAACACCAUUUGAGCAGCCCUUACUUGGGCAAGUAAAGGGAGCUGGGCUUACUUCAUUGUGGACUACUAGGAUUGCUUUUAUAAGAGAUGAUCCACAUUGAUCAGCAGAGUUUCAAGGCGCUACGGACAACAUCCCAGCCCCAGUCCCUUCGUCUUGUUUUAGUACCAUAAAAGGGCUGUAAAGAUGUACCAGGUGGGCAUCUGAGAGACUCUUUCUUCAUACAGCUGGGCCACAUUGGAAGAUCAGGACCAGCAUGUUUUAUUAUUAGAAUUCCUUUAAUGGUUCUUGCUAGUAUGUUUCAUAUAUGGAAUCUGUUGUGUGAAUUGUUCUGUUGAUCACUGGGAACAGGUGGGGGAGGGAAGAAAUAUAUAAAAAUCUAUUUAUAAAGGAAAAAAAUAGAGUUAGACAAUGAACUGUUAACUGUAGGUUCACCUGCUCCCACUGAAAUCAACUGAGCUCUGGAAAAGGGACACCAUUGAAUCUAUAUGUCUACGGUUUAUUUUCAUAUAAUAUGCAAUCCUAACUAUAACUUUAAAGGGAGAAAUAUUAUCUGAUUUAGAGCCCACUCUAGCUCCCAAAGAAGUCAGAGGAAAUCUUUUUCUUUUUUUUUUUUUUUUUUGGUGGCAUGUGGAUCAGGUCCAUGUGGAAAAAAAUCUAAAAUGGCUUGUCUAAAGGGUACAGAAGUUGGGUAGAUUUGAUAAAGAGAACAGUGGAACUGGAGACCUGAUGGGGAAAAAUUAGGUGGAAAAAUAUGUGAUUAUAUAUAUAAAGCAGUAGCCCAAGCAACCAUAUGGUGAGAAGGCAUGUGCCACACUGGAUCAAAGGGGAAAGUCUAGCAUUAGAUUAAAGGGGGAAUAACUGCAGGCAGCCAGUGAGUUUUAUAACAGAGUUGAUAAUAAUACACAGCACAGGAAGGAAAGAGCAAGGAAUAGACAUGAGCAUAAAACAGAAAUAAAAAGGAUUAUUUGAUCCCUCUGGCUUCCCCCCCCCCCAUAUAAUGGAAUUUAUUUUAUCACCCACCUUCUUCAGUUCACCUUCACUUUCAUCUUCCUCUCCUCUAAUAGUUUCCUAGACUCUUUACCCUGAAACUAAAUUUGCCCUCCCCACUUCAUUUAAAAAAUGUAAUACAGUGCAUGCAUCUUCCUCAGGUGCAGCUUGUAAGCAUGAAACAUCUGAAGUGUCAGUUCUACUAGGCAACACUUGCAUGACAGGAGAUGUGAUUGUGGGAUCACGUAUUAGAUCCCAUUGUGCCUUAUUUCCUAUGCAGAGGAAGCCCAAACCCAGGCUCCCUCUGCACUGGCAAGCUCUCAUGGCUGGGAGCCCCUUCAGGUGAGCUCAGCUGCGGCAAUCUCCCCACCUCAGGGGUGCAUGAAACCCCUGGGGCAAGGAGAUUGUAGCUGUGCCCUGGGGCUGCCAGGACCCAGCUGGGCCCCAACACCAGGAGACAUAGUGAGGGGACACAGACUCUGCUGUGGGGUGCUGCUGGGAUGGAGAGUCCUCAGCUUCUGGGGUCUGAAAGUCCCCAGCAGUUGUGGGGCUCACAGCCCUAGCUGGGCAAGAUGCAUCCCUGUGGCUGGGAGCACACAGCUAAUGGGGCUCCCAGCCACAGGGGAGACCCUGCUACACGUGCAAAUUAAAGAUGGGUAGCAAACAGCUAUAAAGUUAGGACACAUUCUUGAGGUCUAAUUUUAGCUUGUUGGACCUUUUCAUGGCAUGAUAGGUACUUUGCAAGUAUAGUUGGCCUUGAGGUAAUUGGGCAAUACCUAUAAUGUGUAGAGGGGGCCUUAGAGAUUAUCUCAUUCAGAGAGGCAUGAGUUUUUGUAAGCAACAGCCUUCAUCAGAUGUUACUGGACUUGAAGAAAGCAGGGGUACUAAAGAGAAAGGAAGAAAGUCAUUAAAAUACAAAGGAUAGGAAAGUGUUCUGCCAUAGGCUUUUGUGUCUUUCUGGAACUGGUUUCUAUCACGUAGGGAUUUCCCUACUUGCCCAAUGUGGACAGCAGUGGGGCACUGUGAGCUAGUGAUAGGGCAUAUGAUGUUGGUGGAGAAGCAGGGGCUUGUGCUACAUGGUUGCAUUGUGUUGAAAUGUUGUGUCAGUGCUGAUGGGGUGACAGGACUACUGUAAUGUACAAACACUAUCAUUGAAAGGGCCUCUGUACUGAUAUGGUAGUACUUAUGACCGCAUCUCUGACAGCGUGACUCAGUCUCUGUUGCUGCAUUAUCUGCUACAUGAACCUUGCAAAGAAAAUGAGGGGCCUGCUGGGGAAACUAGGAUUUGAGGUUCAUCUUUUACUCUGAAGAGAUGGUGGCUUGUGAGGUCCAGCAGCCCAGAGAGGGUUAAUGAAAGACCUGAUUACCUCCCUCAGCUGUGACCAGACAGCCCAUUUGAAGCAGCUGCUGAAAAAACUGCAACCCAAGCAAGAUAGGGAGAGGCUGGCUGAGGUAAACUGUGGAAGGAGCAGUGCAAUGAGAGAGGCUGAUGAGCAUGAAAGGAAAGUUGCAGUGAUUCAUGAGGAAGGGUGAUUUCUCUAUUAAAGAGUACCCUCAGAGUGCAUGAGCAGCACCAUAUCAAUACCAUGUACAAAACAGAUGGAAAUGCAGAAAACCAAUUCCGUGGCAAACCUGUUCUCUGCACUGCCAUGCAGGAAGUCUACUUCAGAGCAAUUUCUGCAUUACCAUUGUUUCUUGGGGCUGAGAGGAAGAAGUCGCAUGCAUGCAGCUGGAAGGAAUUAAGGAUUCAGUUUACAUCAUGUGCAAGAGACUGUAGUAUGGAUACCAAAAGCAAUCUCAAGAACUUUGUCAGAGCCUGGAGUGGUGCCUGCAGGUGCUCUAUCAGCUUUUUUACCUCAGGAGCCAACUUUAUUCUUGUUUUUCCAGUCACUAUAGUCUUUAGCACUUCAGAAUCAACCCAGAUUGGGUUGGGUAAAUAGUUCAACUUAACACUUGUUUCUUAUGUUCUACAGUGAUUGGGCGGGGGGGGGGGAAUCUAUUUUGUUUUUAUUAAAUCAUUGGGACAGGGACUUCUUUUGUGUGUUUGAAACAUGGGGUUUGCCUCCCUACCCUCAAGCUACACUGGUUCAUUAGAGCCAUGUUGAUUUUCAGGCAACAGUCAAUCAGAGUUCCACACACAACUUGAUGGAAGAGAUUAGAUUUUAAGAGUGGAACCUGCAUACAUUUAUUCAUACUCUAAAGCAACACUCUACUUUGGGAGGAAACUGAUUGGCAAUGAUGAGCAGAGAGAGAUUGACAUUUCCCUUUUGUGAAGGAAGACGCCCAAGGGGACACAUGGAUCUGAAUCCUGCAGUACCGACUUUAUUAGUAGUUUUGCUUGCAUGGGGACUACAAGAUUGAGCCUGUGUGUGGCCACUUGGCUUAUACUUAAAGCCAUUCACUUUCUAUAUUAUAAAUAUUCUCAUUAACUUAAUUAAAAAUAAAUCACUUAAUACAGGAAAAAAUAAAUACAAUUAAAAAUUAUUUAUUUUUGUGUAUUUUUAAAAGCUUAGUGCAAUUUAAUAUUGAAGCCUCUCAGUGACAUCAGGGAUUAGAUCCUGGAGCCUCUCUGCCACUAGCCAGUGGCUUGAAGGGUGAGAAAGGUGCACUGAAGAGACAGGUGAGAAUACCCAUCAUGGCUGUGAAGCAAGCAGAGGUGCCCUUGGCCAUCCUCUCCUGCGUGCCUCAGCUUGCUGGGCUCCAGAGAUCUCCAGCCAAGGUACAGGCCCUGGCAGACUUUUAGAAUAGACUGCAAAUGGGAGAGGAACAGGGAACCCCUGGCCAGGCCCCAUUCACUCUCUCUUUCAGCAUCCAGUGUCUGCCACUGUGUGACACAGGAUACUGGGCAAGAUGGAUCUGUGGGCUUACACAGUAAAUGGCAGUUCUCAUAUGUCAUUUUGUAAUAGCUUUAGAUUGCCCUUAAAUACACCAAAACCCAAACUGGUCCAGGCCAUGCUUGGGGGGUACUGAGGUUGUUUAAAACCACCUUUGAUCCCCCCAAGUCCUUCUCAUCUAUGUUUUGUGGAGCUUUGGCAUAACAAAGAAUCUAGUCCUAGGUUUUAUUUUACACACUGUCCUUCCUUCCUCUUUUCCCCCCAGUCAAACUCAGUGUUAAUGAUAAUAAUAUUAAGAUGUCCCAAAGGCAUGCAACCAACAUUGGGACCCCAGUAUGCUAGGCACGGUAGAAAUAUGAAAAUCAAUCCUUUCCUUAAAGAGAUUCAUCUCAGUAAGGUGGUGUCACAACCCAAAGUUGUGAUUUUUGUUUUUGUGUGCGCUUUGGCACCACUGAAUUAUUUUCCCGCCAAAUUUGUAGCUUUCUUUGCAGUG